UACGUAGGGUGCAAGCGUUGUCCGGAAUUAUUGGGCGUAAAGAGCUCGUAGGCGGUUUGUUGCGUCGGCUGUGAAAUCCCGAGGCUCAACCUCGGGUCUGCAGUCGAUACGAGCAAACUAGAGUGUUGCAGGGGAGACUGGAAUUCCUGGUGUAGCGGUGAAAUGACGCAGAUAUCAGGAGGAACACCGGUGGCGAAGGCGGGUCUCUGGGCCGAUACUGACGCUGGAGGAGCGAAAGCGUGGGGAGCAAACAGG
rnacentral:rRNA from 1 species